rnacentral:tRNA from 1 species
AGGGUGCUAGUCCAAAAAAGACAGUUGAUUUCGACUCAACUAAUUAUGGUUGAACCCAUAGUACCCUU